rnacentral:lncRNA from 1 species
CUCUGUGACCCUCCCUAACGUCACCUCUGUGACCUCCCUAACGUCACCUCUGUGACUAUGUCUGCGUCCCAAAUGGAACAUUUUCCUCUAUAAAGGCCACAACUUUUGACCAGAGCCUUAUGGGUAAAUGCCAUUUGGGACGAUUCUCUUGUAUGUGUGCUUGUGACUGAUGGAUUGACUAGCAGAGACUGAGUCUGAGUACCACUGUCAGAUAAGUAUGUGUCAGAUAGUUACUGUGUUGAAUAGUGUAAUGUUCUGGUUACAUGUGUAACAUACAGGGUAUGUAGUGUCAGGUACUUGAUCAGAUGCUUAGCUAAGAAAGUGUGUGGGAUGCUACUGCCUCCACGUUGUUGUUGUUGUUGUUGAUGUUGUUGUUUUUAACCAAGUCGAACUGUUGCCAUGAUAUGCUAUUACUUGGUUACGCACCGGAAUCUGGCGUUUCUAUUGAAUUAUGCUCUUUUUCUAGAAAGGACCAUGACUGUUACCCUAGCAACCCAUCGAUGCUAUUUAGAGGGCGUUACAUGUAAUGAAAGAUUGAACGGUGUUGAGAAUAUGUUCAAAUUGAAGCAAUACAUCCUAGUAUUGUUGUUCUAUCAGCCAUAUUACCCUGCACUGUGACACCAGCUAGCCGAGGCAGCUCUGGAGGCUGUCCCCUGACCCCUGUCUCCUCCACUCUCCUGGAGGCUGACCCCUGACCCCUGUCUCCACUCUUCUGGAGGCUUACCCCUGUCUCCUGCACUCUCUUGGAGGCUGACCCCUGUCUCCUCCACUCUCCUGGAGGCUUACCCCUGUCUCCUCCACUCUCCUGGAGGCUGACCCCUGUCUCCUCCACUCUCCUGGAGGCUGACCCCUGUCUCCUCCACUCUCCUGGAGGCUGACCCCUGUCUCCUCCACUCUCCUGGAGGCUGACCCCUGAACCCUGUCUCCUCCACUCUUCUGAAGGCUUACCCCUGUCUCCUGCACUCUCCUGGAGGCUGACCCCUGACCUCUCCACUCUCCUGGAGGCUGACCCCUGUUUCCUCCAAUCUCCUUUAGGCUGACCCCUGUCUCCUCCACUCUCCUGGAGGCUGACCCCUGACCCCUCCACUCUCCUGGAUGGCUAACUCCUGACCCCCGUCUCCUCCACUCUCCUGGAGGCUGACUCCUGACCCCUGUCUCCUCCACUCUCCUGGAGGCUGACUCCUGACCCCUGUCUCCUCCACUCUCCUGGAGGCUGACUCCUGACCCCUGUCUCCUCCACUCUCCUGGAGGCUGAGCCCUGUCUCCUCCAAUCUCCUGGAGGCUGACCCCUGUCUCCUCCACUCUCCUGGAGGCUGACCCCUGUCUCCUCCAAUCUCCUGGAGGCUGACCCCUGUCUCCUCCACUCUCCUGGAGGCUGACCCCUCUCUCCUCCACUCUCCUGGAGGCUGACCCCUGACCCCUCCACUCUCCAGGACCAAGUAAAGCUUUAAGAGACAUCUCCUUUAGUGUAGUUCUAGUGUUGCUGCAGCCAGGCUUCCAGAAUUAGCGGCACAUUCCAAAUGACCUGAACAUUCCAGAUAUGAGCCUGGCGUUGUCCUCUGUCUGCCUCAAUAUCCCAGGUGGGGUUGUCAUACUGUAGGCGACAUAUAGAGAGAGAUAUGAGGUGAGAGAGUUGAUUGAUUCCAUGCUUUUGUAGUCUGAUUGUCAGUCUGUGUUUGACAGUUAAAGAACGAUUGGCUGAGUUUCUAUCCCUUUAUAAUGAAAAGGUCUUACUACCAUCUCUAACGAGGCUCAGCAGUUUUAGCCGAAUGCUUUCCAAAACAUCACAACGUGCCUGAACUUCUCUGUCUUUUUUUUUAUUACUAAAUGGAAUGUCAAUUGUUUCAAAUACCUUUUAAUCAUCAUGAACUUUUCCAUUGAGCUAACAAGCCUUUAUAAGUCAUUGUUUCCCCCAGUCUCAGUGAGUGUAGCGCUGAUGGACACUGUGUCUGCUGUUGGUGUGUUUUCAUGCCAUUUAGCAGAGGCUUUUAUUCAAACCACGAAGUGAUGUAUGCAUUCUUUAUGUGUGGAUGGUCACGGGAGUCAAACCCACUAUCCUGUUGUUGCAAGUGUCAUGCUCUACCAACUGACCUACAGAGGACCAGUGUAUUGUUAGGGAGUUUAGUCUGUAAGGGCAAAACCAGCUGGCUGACUGACCAGGGAGGAAUAAGAUGACCUUCUGUCUAACCUCUGACCUCUCCAACCCAGCUCUCCCACAGACAGGCUGACGUGUGUGUGUGUGUGUGUGUGUGUGUGUGUGUGUGUGUGUGUGUGUGUGUGUGUGUGUGUGUGUGUGUGUGUGUGUGUGUGUGUGUGUGUGUGUGUGUGUGUUCUCCAUCAACACAUCUUCCAACAGCCCUAACCAGUAGGAAAGCUCAAUAUUCACUUUAGUUUUGACCACAACUCUGUCACGCUUGCUCAAGUCACCCCUUAGUUAGCACUGAUCUAGGAUCAGCUUACACUCCCCAUAUCCAAACCUAAACCAUUAGUGGAGGGGGACUCUAAACAGACCGUAGCUCAGUGUCUGGGAGAAACUCCACUUUUCCCUGAACAUGUUGAUACUUUAGCAGGACUAGUAGUAACUAUGACUACAUCCUUUAGUAGCAGUGAGCCAAGCAGCUCUACAGCCAGGUGAGUUAGAGAGACAUCAUGUAGCUGUCUAUGCACUUUGACCUCUGGGAUAUCCAGAGGGUAGAAUAGCCAUAUUGAGGUCUCAGUGAUGCCCGGUUCAAUACACCAGCGAGACUCUGUGUGACUGACUGUUUCUCUGUAGAGAGACUGACUGCAUGGCAGUGACUGUUUCUCUGUAGAGACUGACUGCAUGGCAGCGACUGUUUCUCUGUAGAGAGACUGACUGCAUGGCAGUGACUGUUUCUCUGUAGAGACUGACUGCAUGGCAGUGACUGUUUCUCUGUAGAGACUGACUGCAUGGCAGUGACUGUUUCUCUGUAGAGACUGACUGCAUGGCAGUGACUGUUUCUCUGUAGAGACUGACUGCAUGGCAGUGACUGUUUCUCUGUAGAGACUGACUGCAUGGCAGUGACUGUUUCUCUGUAGAGACUGACUGCAUGGCAGUGACUGUUUCUCUGUAGAGAGUGACUGCAUGGCAGUGACUGUUUCUCUGUAGAGACUGACUGCAUGGCAGUGACUGUUUCCCUGUAGAGACUGACUGCAUGGCAGUGACUGUGCCUAAUGGUGGGGCUCCACAGGGUGCUCCUUAAAAAGCUUUAAACAUGUACCUUUCAGAUGUCUGUUACUACAACAUUGUUCAGCUCCAGUUUGGCUCACUGUGAAAGGUAGCUAACUAAAUGAAUAAGGUCAACUUGAAACAUGCAUUCGCUUUUUCUCCAGUGUGUUGCACAAAGGUUUUGUAGAAAGGCUCGGACAGUGGGUUUGAGAGGUGUGAUAAUAACUGAUCUUAUGAAAGGUUGAACAUGUAUUAAGGCCUUCCUGUAUUACAAAAAAGUGAAACACCUACAAAGCGCCUUAUUUCAUCAACUUUGUAUUUUCUUUUGAAUCUCUAAACGUUGUGGCUUAUUACUUUCACCAACUACUUGAGUAUUUAACUGUUCUGAAAUAAAACAUGUUGCAUCAUGGGGAAUAUAUGGCAUUGACCUCAACAUAUUCAACUGGAAUUGUUGUUUGAUGUUUUGUUGGAAUGACAGCUAAUAGUCUGGUGUUUCUAACAGUGGACAGACACAGGUCAAGCAUAAGGAAGACAGGUUAGUCUGACUGUACAGGCAGACAUAAGAGACAGGUUAGUCUGACUGUACAGGCAGACAUAAGAGACAGGUUAGUCUAACUGUACAGGCAGACAUAAGAGACAGGUUAGUCUAACUGUACAGGCAGACAUAAGAGACAGGUUAGUCUGACUGUACAGGCAGACAUAAGAGACAGGUUAGUCUAACUGUACAGGCAGACAUAAGCGACAGGUUAGUCUAACUGUACAGGCAGACAUAAGCGACAGGUUAGUCUAACUGUACAGGCAGACAUAAGAGACAGGUUAGUCUAACUGUACAGGCAGACAUAAGAGACAGGUUAGUCUAACUGUACAGGCAGACAUAAGAGACAUGUUAGUCUAACUGUACAGGCAGACAUAAGAGACAGGUUUGUGAGUUCAGGAUGAGUGUCUGUGGGUUUCUGGGAGAGAGGUGGAGGACAAUGCCUGCACAUUAAUACAAGUAUAAAUGUAUCAUUUUAAAUAUAAAACUAUAAAUAUUGUAUAGAAUGUCAUUCAUUUUUAUAAUCUUGACUGUACAUGUAAUGCAACCACCUUUCUUUUUGAAAGGAGUCUUUGAUGUUUUGUACAUGUAUGUAAAUGAUGUUUGCUUAGCAGUUGUUUGCAGCCUUCUCAAUGUAUGUUCGUCAAGGUUCAUUUCCGCGCUUCGAUACGUGUCCACGGUUUAUUAUACGUCAUGGAUUGAUGAAUUCAUAAUUGCCUGCAUAACUUUGUACAUGUUUGUGUCUCUCAUCACAGCAUAUUGUAUGGUCUGCGUUUUGUUUAGCAGUUGUACAGAUGUUACAUAUCACUGCGGCUACAUUACAGUAGGAGAAUAAAGCAC